CCCCACAGUGACAUAGCGGUAUGUCUUCGGACUUACAAACCUAGAAACCGGGUUUCGAUAACCGUGGUGGGCAGAGCACAUAUAGCCCGUUUUAUAGCUUUGUGCUUAAUUACAAACAAACAAGCUCCCUCUCGAUUCUCCUUUCGAUACUGUUUUGUCAGUUAGAAGAAGAGCGUUUAUUUUUGUGGUUGGUUAAAUACGCUUAAGCGUAAAGCCUAUUUGUACGUGUUGGUUAAUUUGAAAACUGAUGAGCGGGAACUUUAUGAUUCAAAACGUUCUUCAGAAGCUGCGCUAUUAUAAGUUUGUGAUCCUCUUUCCCACCUUCACAAUUUUGGCUAUUGGAGCAGACUACAGACGAACACAACAUUAUAAAGCAUUAAAAAGGAAUACUGAAAUCUCUCAUAAAAGUUGAAGAAAACCAAGGAACAUGGCUUUUCAAAGAAUAGGGAAGAAAUGGUGGCCAGUCUUGCUUCCCAUCGGAGGGCUGAUGUUUGGUUUUUAUCUGGACCACCUGGAAACCUUAAGGAUGACUGAUUUCAGAGGAAAGAGCAAGCUUUUUGGCAAAGAAGGAUUCUCCAGUGAUAAACCGUUAUGGCCAUAGACCUGGUGUUGCAAAGAAUUUGUUCAUGUAGAUAACUAAUGUAGCUUUUUACAAAAGAAAAGAUUAGUGUAUUGUUUUUGAUAGAUAAAAUAAAUAUUUAAAAAUCUUUUUUUUU